rnacentral:rRNA from 1 species
UACGGGAGGCAGCAGUGGGGAAUAUUGCACAAUGGGCGAAAGCCUGAUGCAGCUAUGCCGCGUGUAUGAAGAAGGCCUUAGGGUUGUAAAGUACUUUCAUCGGGGAGGAAAAACAAAACUAAUAAUUUUAUUUCUUGACGUUACCCGAAAAAGAAGCACCGGCUAACUCCGUGCCAGCAGCCGCGGUAAUACGGAGGGUGCUAGCGUUAAUCAGAAUUACUGGGCGUAAAGAGCACGUAGGUGGUUUUUUUAAAGUCAGAUGUGAAAUCCCUGGGCUUAACCUUAGGAACUGCAUUUUGAAACUGAAAUACUAGAGUAUCGUAGAGGGAGGUAGAAUUCUAGGUGUAGCGGUGAAAUGCGUAGAUAUCUGGAGGAAUACCUGUGGCGAAAGCGGCCUCCUAAACGAAUACUGACACUGAGGGUGCGAAAGCGUGGGGAGCAAACAGGAUUAGAUACC